UCAGUGUGGCAUAGUGGCUUGAGUUUUAGACUAUGGUUCUGGAGGCCAGAGUUCAAUUCCUUGCUGAG